rnacentral:tRNA from 1 species
UGUGGUGUAGCUCAGUGGUGGAGCAUGUGCUUAGCAUGUACAAGGUUUGGGGUUCAAUCCCCUGCACCACCA